GUGGGGCCUUGCGGACCCUGGAAAGGCUGCCCUUCCUGGGGCUGGCCAGUUCCUACUGGAGAGAGUGCCUGCCUUUCAAAUGCCAACCAACCAAUCCAGAGCCCCUACUGCACCACCUCCUUCACUGAGCUCUCACACUGUUGCAGGACUUCUCCUUAGUUCAGCUAAAGAUGGAGUCCUUAUCACACAGGCACGAAAAUUGAGGCUUGCAGACAAUUGAAGAGUGAGAAAAACGGGGUUUAUUGGGCAAAAAGAAAAAAAUGGGAAAGAGAGACUUUUAGCAAAGCAAGAGAGUGUUCUUCCUGCCUGUGGGCUUCCCGCCUCGCAGAUUGAAUUCCAGGUUCCACACAGGAAGAGGAGGGGCCAAGCUCCUCCCCUCCGCAAACUGCGUGAACUACUAUGGCUCCGCUCCAGUACGCAGAUAAUGUCACUUGUCAACUGAGGAAUGACAAGGUUCAUAAACCUAGAAAGAAGAGCUUUCUUCUCAUAAAGGGCUGCAGCCUGCAGGGCAGCCAUUGUGACAGGCUGAGAAGCAGAGCCUCCAGCCAGAAGCCAGAAACAGACCCUUCCAGGGGCAGAAGAACAAGACAGGAAUUUAUGCUGAAUGAGGUAUUUGCUGCUCAGAAUUGGCAAAUAGAGGAAUAAACUCUGUUACCAAAUUCCUUAAUUUCAGGAGAACCCAUGAAAGGAGUAUCAUCCAAUCAGGUCAACUCUCUUUGGUUUCCUAAUGUCUAAACAUUUCACAAUUUAUGGAAUUAUGAAAGGAUCCAGCUCCCCAGAGGAUGUGAGCACAUCUGAACACAAUUAUGCACUGCAGCCAGACAACUGUUAGCUUUCUGGGGCAAAAGACACAGAGAAAGACCAGGAUAAUCCUUGUGCGUGCAGCUCAGAUUUGGCCCCUGUCGCCACACGCUGCCAAGCCUGUCACAUUCUGGCAAUAAGGAGCAAUGCUUGGAUGGGGACCAGGACCAUGCUGACAUCUGACCACCUCUGCAGUCUGGGCGAAUUCCAAGAAAUCCCUCAGAAGAAAGUGCCAUGCAGAAAUAUCCUGGCGGGGGAACUGCCCACACAGCUGUGCCAGUUAUUCACCCUCGCCAGAUUCUUCAUGCUCUUUCCCACUUCAAGGCCCUUGCAUUAGCUGUUCUCCCUGACCAUGCACUUGACUCUCAAGAACAUUUAGCCUCCCCCAAGACUCCAUCUUCAGGCCUCCUUCCCUCACCAUCUCCAAGGCUGCGGCUCCAGGACACAAGCUGACCACCCUGCCCAACCCGAAGUCCUCGACUGAUGCUCAGCGCUUAUAGGUUCAAGUCCAGGCUCCCUAGCAUAGCACUGAAGUCAUGGCUCAGUUUACCCUUCCAAGCCUGUCUCCCCCAAGUCCUGCCCUCCUCCUCUCAUCACUGCCAAGUACAUCAAGCACUCCCACGUGGCUGGGCUUUAACCCAAGCUGCUCUCUCUUCCCAGAAGGCUCUUCUCUGACUUGCUGCCAAAACACAAAGUCGCUUGGAGGUGAAGGCAAAUAUUAGUUCAGCUGGCAAGCUCCUCUCCACGUCCUCAUCAAAGCCCCCAGCUCCAUGAGCUUCUGGGCUGUUCCUGUGGAUUUCUGCACUCUCUGUGUUGAAACAUCUGUAAUGGGUUAUAGCUGGGAGUUGGAAUGUCUGCCUCCCUUUUCGCUGAGAAGAAGGGGGUCUUUACAGGAUCGAACGCUCCCUGGGUUCUGUCUCCUUCCUUUCAAUAUAGUGAGCAGUUCCUCCCACCUAGUGGGUUCUCCUUAGAUGUCUGGGAGGUCAUCUAUCCAGUGCUGGCUGUUGCAGAUCUGUGCAGUUGCUUUUUGAACAGGACCCACAUCCGUCUUCCAAAAUAUCUAAAAUUAGGUCUUUGACAGUUCCUGAAAAUGUUAGUUAUCAUAUAAUCCAGCAACUCCACUCCAAGGUAUAUAGCCAAAAGAAUUGAAAUCAUAUUCCACACAAAAAUGUAUACCUGAAUGCUCAUAGCAGCAUUAUUCACAAUAGCCAAGAAAUGGAAACCACCCAAAUGUCCAUCAACCCACAAAGGCAUAAGUGAACUGUGAUAUACCCAUACGACAGAAUACCGUUUGGCUAUAAAAGGAGGGACCGAUUCGUGCUACAAUGCGGAUGGGCCUUGAAAACAUGCUAAGUGCAAGACGCCAGUUACAAAAGAUCACAUAUUAUGUGAUUUCAUUCAUGUGAAAUGUCCAGAAAUAGUCAAAUUUAUAGAGAAAGAAAGCAGAUUAGUGGUCGCCAGGAGCUGGGGCAAAGGAGGGCGUGAGCGUGAUUGUGAAUAGGUAUGGCUUUUUAGAGAGGAAAGGGGGUUGUGGUCAUGGUCGCACAGCAUGUGACUCAUGGAGUUUGUGCCCUUGAGAGGAGGGACUGCUGUGGCAUGUGAGUUACAUAUAAUUAGGCCUUCAGUGCUGCCAGCAUUCUCAUCCUUGGAGGGCCAGGUAUCUUUUCUGUUGUUUUGUUUUGUUUUGUUUUAUGAGAUGGAGUCUCACUGUCACCCAGGCUGGAGUGCAAUGGUGAGAUCUCCGCUCACUGCAAUCUCCAUCUCCCAGGUUCAUGCGAUUCUCCUGCCUCAGCCUCCCAAGUAGCUGGGACCACAGGCACCUGCCACCACGCCCAGCUAUUUUUUUUUUUUUUUUGGUAUUUUUAGUACAGACGGGGUUUCACCAUGUUGGCCAGGGUGGUCUCGAUUUCCCGACCUCGUGAUCUGCCCGCCUCAGCCUCCCAAAGUGCUGGGCUUACAGGCGUUAGCCACCGCGCCCCACCGUAUCUUUUCGGUUCUAAGCACAAGACAAUUGUCUUGGGAACACCUCCCGGCUCUUGGCCUCAGUAUGUUUUCUUUAGCCCUACGUUUCCCCUUUGCUCUCUCCCCGCGUGUGAUGGGGGCUGCCUGGGUGGGGCUGUCACAGCGGCAGGUGGGUGAGGAGCCCCUAGGCGCGUCCGGAGGAAGGCUCACCCGGAGGCCGCCUGCAGGCGGCCAGGUGCCAGCCACUGCGGGCCUCUGGGGCCGAAGCCGGCGGAUGGUGAGACGCUGGUUGGUCUGCAACACUGCCCAGACCCCGGGCACUCAUGUCUAGAAAAAAGCUGACUCGUGACACCAAAGGAGCUCUUUCAAGCUUCCUGCACGCUCUUAGCGCCAGAGCACCCCAGCCGUCCUGGGAGCCCCCGAAGCCAAGCAUAUUCGAACUCCGAAUCCGCUCGAUCGCCGGGGACCUGCCAUCUGGGUUCGGUUCCCCAAGGUCGCUGCCGACCUUAGACCGCGGGGGUGUGGGGCGCCGGGGAAGGAGACAGAAGGACAGGCGCCGCCCAGGGCCGCGGGGACACUUGGGGCUGCGUCCUGGGUGGGCGCGAUGCUCCCCCAGAACGACUGGAGAUGGAGAGUGUCGGGGAGGGAAACGGGACCCACGAAUUCAGGGCGCUGAGUCGGCGGAAUGCGCCCUGACUCCCCCUGGCCGAGAGCCGGCUCAGAAUGAAAGAGCGCGGAGUGGGAGGUCUGGGAAAUGGCAGUAUUUGUAUUAGGGAGAGAAGGAAACAGGAGUGGGAGCCGCACGGCUUGGGGAACGCGGGAGAUCGCGGAUUGCGGGGAUAGCGCAGCGCGGCUGCCCGGGGCUGCUGGGAGGGGCCGGACGAGGCCAGGGCGAGCGGGGUAACUGCGGCCGGCCGGACGGCGGCGGUAACCGGCUGCACCGAGGUGGUUCCACCACCGCGCUGGGCGCUUGCGGUUCGUCUGCUCCAACGAAAGCCGCGUCCCACGCUCCCUGCCGCCGCGUGGUUUUGCCUCCUCAGAGGGGCAGCGGCGACCCAGGGGCUGGCGGUGGAUGUCAGGAGUGCGCUUUCCUUCUAGGCCUUCUCCCUCAUGACUGGUUUUGUUUUUAGAUUACAAAAAUAACUUAUAUUAUUUAAUUAAAAAUACAUAAAAUAUAUUGUGAUAGCGCAGAAUAAUGGCCCUCCAAGAAUGUCCACGGCCUAAUGUCUAGAAACUGUUAUAUGGCAAAAUAAAUACAUAAAUAAGGUGGAAGGCCUUUGCAGAUGUGAUCAAGCUAAGGAUUUUUUUAUUUUUAUUUGAUAUUGAUUGAUUGAUUGAUUGAGACAGUCUUCCUCUGUCUCCCAGGCUGAAGUGCAGUGGCGCGAUCCCGGCUCACUGUAACCUCCGCCUCCUGGGUUCAAGCGAUUUUCCUGCCUCAGCCUCCCGAGUAGCUGGGAUUACAGGCUCCUGCCAUCACGCCUGGCUAAUUCUCGUAUUUUAGUAGAGACAGGGGUUUCACCAUGUUGACCAGGCUGAUCUCGAAUUCCUGACCUCAAGUGAUCCGUCUGCCUUGGCUUCCCAAAGUGCUGGGAUGACAGAUGUGAGCCACAGCGCCUGGCAAACUAAGGAUUUUUAGACCGGGGAUUACCCUGGAUUAUCCAGGUGGAUACAAUGUCCAGUGAUCACAGGGGUCCUAGAAGAGGGAGGCAGGGGAGGCAGAGGAGAAGUGAGGGCAGAAGGAGAGGUCAGAGGGAUGUGUUUGCUUCGAGGAUCAAAGAAGGGGAGCACCGGCCAAGGGAUGCGGGCAGCUUCUAGAAGGUGGGAAAGGCAAGGAUAUGGAUUCUCCCUGAGCCUCCAGAAGGAACCCAGUUCUGCAGACACUUUGAUGUUAGCCCAGUGUGACCCUAUGCAUACUUCUGACCUCCAGAACUGUGCAAGAAUAAUCUGUGUUGUUUUAGGCCCCUCAAUCUGUGGCGAUUUGUUAUAGGAGUCCUAGGAAAUACCUGAACACAAACAUUUAAAACAUAAAGAAGUCACCUGUAAUCCACUUCCCAGAAUGAACUCAUUCAGCAGCCUGAGGAGCAGGGCUGACUGAUGAAAACACUUGAAAGGAGGAAGUGCCGUCUUGCUAAGGCUGGUGUGUUCAGAAGAGGACACCGUGAAUGAUUCUCCUGACUAAGAUGGUCCACUAAAAGGAACCAGGGCUCCGUGGAGAAAUGGCGACUUCUGGGAUUAAGGCUGGAGAGGAAUAAGAUGAACCCAGAAUAUAUUAUUCUGGCAGACAGUGAGGAAGUACCCAGAGAAUGGUAGGAACUCAUCCAAAGGACAAAAGCUUGAAGGGGCUCUCAUUGGGCAAAUCUGGAAUCUUUUGAGUAACAAUCAUGUUAGUAUUGAAUUGUAACUCUUUUUUUUUUCUUUUUGUAGCUGGGAUUACAGAUGCCUGCCACUAUGCCUGGCUGAUUUUUGUAUUUUUAAUAGAGAUGGGGUUUUGCCAUGUCGGCCAGGCUGGUCUUGAACUCCUGGUCUCAAGUGAUUGGCUCACCUCGGCUUCCCAAAGUGCUGAGAUUACCGGUGUGAGCUACCACACCCGGCCUAUAACUCUUCUUACUUUAUUAUAAGCACAGUCUAAGAAUCCACUAGUACCUACAGGUACAGUAAUAUAAAUGAAAAAGUAAAGAGGGAGAAGAAAACUCUUUCUUAUCAACUAAUAAACGCAGAAAGAUAAUGGAAUAAGAAAAUACCGCUUGGAACUACCAUAGUAAUGAUUAUGUCAGGGAGAAUCAUCAGUGAAUGCUAAAUUGUGAGAAAAGUUUGAGAAACAGGAUUUGUAUAUGGUCUCAAACUAUCGCUGCACGAGGGAGAUUCCCAGUAAUGACCGAGGGGAAAACAGUCACUUUACUGUGGGGAAACCUGACAAACCUUAUUCAAGCGAUCAAAGUUAACAUCACCAGCAAUGGGACAAAUAGGCAACACGUGCCUCUGGUGUGCUGCAGCAGGCCUCCAUGAUGCAAUAGCCCUUCAUGGUGCUCGUGCUGGCCGUGCAGAACCUGCAUUCAAUUGUGAGGAAAUACCAACACAUCAAACAGAGGGACAUUUUCUAAAACACUGGCUUCUGCCCUACAAAAAUGUCAAUGUCAUUUUUGACAAAGACUGAGGAACUGUUUCUUACUGAAGAGGACUAAAGAGGCCUGACAACUAAGUGCAGUGUGGAUUCUGAAUAGUGGGCCAGAUGAAAAAUGUUUGUUUGUUUGUUGGUUUGUUUUAAUUAUAAAGGAAGUGAAUCAUACUAAGGCAUAGAUGAACCUUGAGGACACUGUGUGCGAUGAAAUAAUCCAGACACGCCAGGCGCGGUGGCUCGUGCCUGUAAUCACAGACAGCACUUUCGGAGGCUGAGGCAGGCAGAUUGCUUGAGCUCAGGAGUUCCAGACCAGUUUGGGAAACAUGGUGAAAUCCCACCUAUGCAAAAAUUAGCUGGGCAUGGUGUCCCAAGCUUGCAGUCCCAGCUACUUAGGGGAGGUGGAGGCCGCAGUGAGCUGUGAUCAGGCCUCUGCACUCCAGCCUGGGUGACAAAGAGAGACCCUUUCUCAAAAAAAAAAAAAAAGUCCAGGCACGGUGGCUCAUGCUUGUAAUCCCAGCACUUUGAUAGGCCGAGGCGGGUGGAUCGCCUGAGGUCAGGAGUUCUAGACCAGCCUGGCCAACAUGGUGAAACCCCGUCUCUACUAAAAAUAUAAAAAUUAGCCGGGAUUGGUGGUGGGCACCUGUAAUCUCAGCUACUUGGGAGGCUGAGGCAUGAGAAUCACUUGAACCCAGGAGACGGACGUUGCAGUGAGCCAAGAUCACACCACUGCACUCCAGCCUGGGCGACAAAGUGAGACUCUGUCUCAAAAAGAAAAACAAAACAAAACAAAAAGUAGAAAAAAAGAGAAAUAAUCCAGUCACAAAAUGACAAAUUAUCGUGUCAUUCCACUUAUAUGAAGUACCAAGAAUAGUCAAAUUUAUAGAGACAAAAAGUAGAUGGAGGGUUACCAGGAGCUUGGAGGAGGGGAAAUGGGGACUUCGUGUUUAAUGUGUUCAGAGUUUCCGUUUGGGGUAACGGGAGAUGGAUAAUUGUGAUGGCUGCAUAGCACUGUGAAUGUAAUCAAUGCCAUAAGUUGUACUUUUAAUGGUUAAAGUGGUAAAUCUUACACAUAUUUUACUAUAAUAAAAAUAAUUUCUGAAAAAAAGUCUUCAACUUUCAAAUAAAUGGGUAGACAAUUGACAACAUUUACAUAAGGUCUGUAGAUUAUAUAAUAAUGGUAUGUCAAGAUUAAUUUCCUCAUCCUGAUAAAUGUACUGUGGUUAUGUAAGAAAAUGUCAGCUGGUCCAAAGGUAGUGAGUUAUCUCAAUUGAUUGUUCCCAGACAGUUACAGAUCAAACUCCUUCUACUCUUUCCCCGCUUCUCACCACUGCACUUGACUAGUUUUAAGAUAAAUAAAAUGUCUGUGUGUGUGUGUCUGUGUGUAUGUAUGUGUAAGAAAUAUACAUUGGGGCCGGGCAUGGUGGCUUACGCCUAUAAUCCCAACAGUUUGGAAGGCCAAGGCGGGUGAAUCACCUGAGGUCAGGAGUUCGAGACCAGCCUGGCCAACAUGGUGAAACCCCGUCUCUACUAAAAAUGCAAAAAUUAGCUGGGUGUGGUGGCGCAUGCCUAUAACCCCAGCUACUCUGGAGGCUGA
rnacentral:lncRNA from 1 species